rnacentral:rRNA from 1 species
AGUAAAAGUCGUAACAAGGUCCGUAGGUGAACCUGCGGA